AACAAAUUAACAUUCAUCAUCUCACAUUUUCCCCCAGUUGCAAGAGUAGCCAUAAUCUACUCAUUUAGCAAAGAUCCUAAAUUUAAUACACUAUUGGUGGUCAGAUGGUCCAAACUUUUAGCUGUAAGAUGAAUAAGUUCUGGGGCUCUAAUGUACAGUAUGGUGACUAUAGCUAACAAUACUGUAUUGUUUACUUGACAUCUGCUAAGAGAGUAUAUCUUAAGUGUCUUCACCACACAUACACCAAAUAAAUAAAUAAAUAAAUAAAUAAAUAAAUAAAUAAAUAAACCAGGGUAACUACGUGUGAUGAUGGACACGUCGACUAAUUUAAAAUAUAUAUAUAUAUAUGUAUAAAACACAAUGUUACAUAUUUCAAAUCAUCACAUCGCACACCUUGAAUAUAUACAAUUUUUAUUUGUCAAUUAAAACCUGAUAAAAAUUGUUUGAUCAAAUGUGACUAAAGGUUAGGUAUUUGAGGAACCUAUCACAGGCCUCUCAACUAUUCUGGUUGCCCUUGUUAGGAUACAUAUUACUGGACUCUCACCUUCUCUCCAGGUUAGUGUGCAUAGUCCAAUAGAGAAACUGAUAAGGAAAUAACUAUUC
rnacentral:lncRNA from 10 species